rnacentral:rRNA from 1 species
UAAUUGAAGAGUUUGAUCAUGGCUCAGAUUGAACGCUGGCGGCAGGCCUAACACAUGCAAGUCGAACGGUAGCGGGAAGAAGCUUGCUUCUUUGCCGACGAGUGGCGGACGGGUGAGUAAUGUCUGGGAAACUGCCCGAUGGAGGGGGAUAACUACUGGAAACGGUAGCUAAUACCGCAUAACGUCUACGGACCAAAGUGGGGGACCUUCGGGCCUCACACCAUCGGAUGUGCCCAGAUGGGAUUAGCUAGUAGGUGGGGUAACGGCUCACCUAGGCGACGAUCCCUAGCUGGUCUGAGAGGAUGACCAGCCACACUGGAACUGAGACACGGUCCAGACUCCUACGGGAGGCAGCAGUGGGGAAUAUUGCACAAUGGGCGCAAGCCUGAUGCAGCCAUGCCGCGUGUAUGAAGAAGGCCUUCGGGUUGUAAAGUACUUUCAGCGGGGAGGAAGGGUAAAAGAUUAAUAACCUUUUUCAUUGACGUUACCCGCAGAAGAAGCACCGGCUAACCCCGUGCCAGCAGCCGCGGUAAUACGGAGGGUGCAAGCGUUAAUCGGAAUUACUGGGCGUAAAGCGCACGCAGGCGGUCUGUCAAGUCGGAUGUGAAAUCCCCGGGCUUAACCUGGGAACUGCAUUCGAAACUGGCAGGCUAGAGUCUUGUAGAGGGGGGUAGAAUUCCAGGUGUAGCGGUGAAAUGCGUAGAGAUCUGGAGGAAUACCGGUGGCGAAGGCGGCCCCCUGGACAAAGACUGACGCUCAGGUGCGAAAGCGUGGGGAGCAAACAGGAUUAGAUACCCUGGUAGUCCACGCCGUAAACGAUGUCGACUUGGAGGCUGUUCCCCUGAGGAGUGGCUUCCGGAGCUAACGCGUUAAGUCGACCGCCUGGGGAGUACGGCCGCAAGGUUAAAACUCAAAUGAAUUGACGGGGGCCCGCACAAGCGGUGGAGCAUGUGGUUUAAUUCGAUGCAAACGCGAAGAACCUUACCUGGCCUUGACAUCCACGGAAUUUUGCAGAGAUGCGGAAGUGCCUUCGGGAACCGUGAGACAGGUGCUGCAUGGCUGUCGUCAGCUCGUGUUGUGAAAUGUUGGGUUAAGUCCCGCAACGAGCGCAACCCUUAUCCUUUGUUGCCAGCGAUUCGGUCGGGAACUCAAAGGAGACUGCCGGUGAUAAACCGGAGGAAGGUGGGGAUGACGUCAAGUCAUCAUGGCCCUUACGGCCAGGGCUACACACGUGCUACAAUGGCGCAUACAAAGAGAAGCGACCUCGCGAGAGCAAGCGGACCUCAUAAAGUGCGUCGUAGUCCGGAUCGGAGUCUGCAACUCGACUCCGUGAAGUCGGAAUCGCUAGUAAUCGUAGAUCAGAAUGCUACGGUGAAUACGUUCCCGGGCCUUGUACACACCGCCCGUCACACCAUGGGAGUGGGUUGCAAAAGAAGUAGGUAGCUUAACCUUCGGGAGGGCGCUUACCACUUUGUGAUUCAUGACUGGGGUGAAGUCGUAACAAGGUAACCGUAGGGGAACCUGCGGUUGGAUCACCUCCUUA